rnacentral:lncRNA from 1 species
AUGGUCUUCCUGAACUUUCCACGGCCAUCCAUCCCCCGUUCUGUCCCCAGCUGCCUUACUCCACGGUGGGAACCUGACCUUGGCAUUCGUUUUCCCAUUUUCCCAACCAGAAAUGAGGUCUUUUCCCUCCUGUGGGGUCCCCAGCCGGAGGCGGGGGGCGGGGGGGAACAGCACACAGUAGGUGUGGCUUGGNNGGUGGGGGGAGCAGGAGGGGAGGCAGGUCUCCAGCGGGCUCCUGCCUGCCUGGCCCAGUGGCGGGCACCCAGCAGAGAACAAAGGCCACAGUCAGAUGGGCGGGGGCGGGCAAGCGGUCUGUGGGCCGCCCUCAAGGGGCCCCUGGCCGCCUGUCCCUGUGCCAGGGCCCUGUGGGGUGCACCCGGGCCUUGGGGCUGGGCAGAGGUUGUGGCUGAGUGGGGGCCCCCACAGGCUGCUCCUCCCAGUGACUCAGCUCCAUGCUGGGCCUCCCCAGAGAAGACAAUAGUGGCUUGUGGGUGCCAGGAGGGCCUCCUGGCAGGUGUGAGGAGCCCCAGGGUGGACUGGGCCCCAGAGAGGAGCUUUUGGAACCUUAGUUUCCUCAUCUGUACAAUGGGUUUAAUCACUCAGGCGUGAGGACCUGAGAGCCAAACAUGUGGAUGGAAAGAACACGUUUGGGACAAAAGGGGGGUUCCUCUGAUGGCUCAUCUUGGCCCAAGGGGUAGGGGCUGGACAGGUCACAGUCACCACUGUGCUCUAAUGCCCGGCACCAAGCCUGGCACACAGUCGGUGGUCAAUGAUUGCAUGGCCCAUGAACAGAUCAUUUCUCCCCUUCAGUGGAUGUGUAAUUCCAGAAACACUGGCCCCAGCUCUAUAUGGGUUAUACCCUUAGCAUUGGAGGGGGAAGGGGUGCUGACCUACCCUGAGUGAGGCUGGGGACCCUGAGGGACCUCUGCCUCAGCCUGGUCCCCAAGAAACCCCCAGGCUAGGGGAAAGCCAGAGCAGGCCACCGACCUGCGAGGUCAGGGUUGGUCCACAGGGAAAGGUAGGGGCCGAGGGGGCCUCCCACCAGAUGCCCAGGUCUGCCAGUGGGGAAGAGGCCACAGGAUAAGAACACACAUCCCUCACUUCAUCCUUCCAUUUUCCUUAUGGGGAAACUGAGGCCCAGACAGUGGGAAGUACUUGCCCAAAGUCCCAGUGGUGUAGGGAGGGAUGCCAGAUUUGAACCCAGACCCCAAGAACCUCACUCCCCUCCCCAGACCUGUCCCACGUGGGAGCACUCUGGCCCUGGAGGGGUCAGGGUGAGGGUCAGCCCAGUUUGGGCGUGGCAGGAGGGGGCUUUAUUAGGCUCCUCCUGAGCUCCCCAAUUGCCCCUGGGGCCUUCUCUACUUCCAUUCCCCCCAGGAUCCCCACUUUCCUUCCUUCCUUUCAGUCCUGUUCCCUGGAUUGAGGGCAGCACUGAACUGAACUGGCUCAAGGCUCCAGAAGGGAUGGAAGAGCCUUUGCUCCCAGGUAGGAAUGAGCCAGGCAGAUUCUAGAAGAGCAAGGAGGAGGCUGCUGUGUCAAGAGCCCAUCCCUGGCCUGGAGGGGAGUGUAGCUUUCUCUCUGCGGACACAGGGGGCCAUGACAGAGUGUGUUAUUUUCAUUUAUAAUAAUUAUUUCCAGGAGUUCCCGUUGUGGUGCAGCGGAAACAAAUCCGAGGUUGCGGGUUCGAUCCCUGGCCUUGCUCAGUGGCUUAAGGAUCCGGCGUUGCGGUGAGCUGUGGUGUAGGUCACAGACUCAGCUUGGAUCCUGCAUUACUGUGGCUGUGGCGCAGGCUAGCGGCUACAGCUCUGAUUAGACCCCUAGCCUGGGAACCUCCAUAUGCCAUGGGAGCGGCCCUAGAAAAGGCAAAAAGAAAAAAAAAUUAUUUCCAUCCUGUAGGGUCUGUGGUUUUCAAAAGCUGAAGAGCCUCUGGACGUGGGAGGGAACUGGGGAUCUAAGUGACUCUCACAGACCAGUGAGAGUCAGAAGGUCUUAAGUCCUUGUCCAAACUCAGGCCAAGAUCCCAUUUUAUCGACGAAUAAACUGAGUCUCAGGCAGACAAAGGCAACCAGCAAGUCAGAGGCACAGAGUGGGUUCCACGGGGGGAAUUUCUGACCCUGAAACAGAGCUGCAUCAGUGACCCCACGGGAAAAUAGGUCUGAUUUAUUCCUUCCAAGUCUGGAAUGCCCGCUCGCAAGACCCAGCAGCAGGGGCCAGACCUAGGAACUCAGACACGACCAAGCCCAAAAGGCCGUGCGGCCGGCCAUGCACACCUGAGAAUAAAACUCCAAGCCCCACCUCCCCCAUCGCUUCUCGCGGCCUCUCGCUCGGAGAGUCCCGCCUCCUUCUUUACCCGGACGCGCAGAGGGGAGGGCGGGGCGGGGCGGAGCCUGGUUGCGAACGGCCGGCAUCCCCGCCAAUCAGGCUUUCGCACCUUCCAAUUGGCCUCGUCCGCUCGGCCUUCUCUUUCCAUCGCUCGGUCCUUCCCGCUUGCGUCACGGCUAUGCGGCCAAUCCACGUGCGCCUCCGCUCUGGAAGAUAGUCCCUGCCCCCACCUCAUGCCGUUGGCCCACGAUUCUUCGGAUCGCCCGCUCCAGGCGCUGGGCUCCGCGGGCCCGCUGCCGCGUUCGGCGGGAGCGUGGGGCGGACGUGUGGCAGUGGGCGGCGUGCAAACCGCGGCGGAGGGAUCCGCGGGC